UACGUAGGGUCCGAGCGUUGUCCGGAAUUAUUGGGCGUAAAGGGCUCGUAGGCGGUCCGUCGCGUCGGGAGUGAAAACUCGGAGCUUAACUCCGAGCCUGCUUCCGAUACGGGCAGACUAGAGGUAGGCAGGGGAGAGCGGAACUCCUGGUGUAGCGGUGGAAUGCGCAGAUAUCAGGAAGAACACCGAUGGCGAAGGCAGCUCUCUGGGACGGUACUGACGCUGAGACGCGAAAGCGUGGGGAGCGAACAGG
rnacentral:rRNA from 1 species